CAUUUACAAAAUAGCACACUGAAUGUACCCAAUCUCGUCUGAUCUUGGUAGCUAAGCAGGGUCGGGCCUGGUUAGUACUUGGAUGGGUUUUCUUUGACAUGUAGCCGUGAAAGUGU
rnacentral:rRNA from 1 species